GAAUCCAAGUUGUAUUCGACCGAGGGGUCGCUGCUUUGGUGAUUUCUGUGGCCGAGUGUCGACGAUCGAUGGCUAGGGCACGGUGAGAGCUAGAUCUUGCAUCGUCUUCCAUCGGUAGACCUUCCCUCUCCUCCCUCACGCCGACUGCCGACGCCACUGGAAUCGAGUCAGAUUUGAUCGUCGGCAUGAAGAGAUAAUUAGGGCUUUGAGGGUCAGGUCUUGGAUCCCUUCUUUGUUGUUGUUGAUUGAGAGUCAGGGGAAUCCCUGGUAUGCUGGUUCACGGAGCGGAGUAGGUGAUCCAUCUGGAAAUGAUCAGUUGAGGAGGGAGAGAUCGGAUCCAAUUACUUGUUGUAACCCAC